UCGUCUGUUUAUCGCUAUUUAACAGAUGUUUUUUCACUGUUUACAUUCACAGCACAGUUUCCGUUUCAGGAGGUCGUCCCGAGUUGAGACGUUUUGUGGUCUCUUAUUCAUGCCGACAAUAAACGCCCCGCGAGACGCACGCGACCCACCGCGGCGGCGCUGAGUCCGGGCUGAGUCACCGGAGCGCACCAGAGCGCACCGGGCUGCGGCACCGGGUCGGGCUGCUCCGCCGCUGAGCUGUCUAUUCCUGGGCCGUAUAUAAGGAGCGGAGCAGAGCAUCACCGAGCUCCAUCAGCAUCCACCCAGUUCUUAAUAUCUGACCUGAACAGGGACUGUAAUGUGUCUGACACUCCAAGAAAUCCCUUAUGAAGAUAUUUUUUGGGGCGUUUUUGCCUUUAAUCGACAGGACAGCUCAGCAUGAAGGGGGGAGAGAGAGAAGGAAUGACAUGCAGCAAAGUGAUGACUGAGGAGAAAUCUGGACCCUGUGGCUGAACCAGGAAAUACAGAAGAAGUCGUGGAAGACAAAAAAGAAAAUCAAACAUGCUAGACUUCCUGUUAGGAUGUCAUGAGGGGAGGAUUAGUGUUUCUGAGACACCUCACUUCCCCACCAAGCAGCAACCUCCAGGGAUAAAAGAAAACGCAGCCAACACAGAAGUGCCAAAUCCUGCAGUCCUCUGAACGACCACUUGAGGUUGACUCCAACAACGAGUCAAUCCCCAUAUUCCUCCAUGUUAAAAUGUCCAACU